rnacentral:tRNA from 1 species
CCCUUGGUGGUGCAAAUGGUUAGCGUAUUUGGCUACUAACCAAAAGGUUGGAGGUUCAAGUCUACCCAGAGAU